rnacentral:tRNA from 1 species
GCAUUAAUGGGGUAAUGGCAACCCAGGUCAUUGCCAUUGACCUGAUGGGGGUUCAAUUCCCUCUUAAUGCA